rnacentral:rRNA from 1 species
GAGUUUGAUCCUGGCUCAGAAUCAACGCUGGCGGCGUGCCUAACACAUGCAAGUCGAACGCGAAAGCCCCGCAAGGGGUAAGUAGAGUGGCAAACGGGUGAGUAACACGUGGGUGACCUGCCUUCGAGUGGGGGAUAACGUCCCGAAAGGGACGCUAAUACCGCAUGACAUCCUGCUCUUGGACGGACAACUG